rnacentral:sRNA from 1 species
CCUACUGGAAGCCUUCCUAACUCUAUAGCUGGUAAAGUAGAGCAGAAAGGGCCAGAAUGGCUUAAGAUGGAGCUAAAUUCCUAUAGCAUUCCAUUUUCUGCUCUUGCCUCUUGAACUUAGAAGGCUUGCCCAUAUAUCCUAACAAUCUGUUCUCUGAGCUGCUAGAAGGCCAAUCCCUGGCAAGAGAUAUUGAUGUAGUCACUGAAUCUAUUGCUCACAAAUAAUUGAAAAUUGGCUUUGGGAGCUGGGCACAGUGACUCAUGCCUGUAAUCCCAGCACUUUGGGAGGCUGGGGCAGGUGGAUCCCUUGAGGUCAGGAGUUCGAGACCAGCCUGGCCAACAUGGAGAAACUCCAUCUCCACUAAAAAUACAAAAGUAGCCGGGUGUGGUGGCGCAUGCCUGUAAUCCCAGCUACUUGGGAAGCUGAGGCAGGAGAAUCACUUGAACCUGGGAGGUGGAGGUUGCAGUGAGCCAAGAUCACGCCAUUGCACUCCAGCCUGGGUAACAAGAGUGAAACUCUGCCUCAAAAAAAAACACCAAAAGAUGUUUUUCAUUUUUUUCAUGUUAUCUAUCCAAGCACUGUCCCAUGGUCAGCAAGUCAUAUUUCACAAU